rnacentral:lncRNA from 1 species
AUGCAGGACAAUUGUUGGGACAUGUGCCUAGUCCGGAAUACAGCCCAGGACAGCAAGGAGAUGCGUCCUGCACCAGGAAGCCGUGCAGGCAGGAGCUGUCCAAGGUCCCGGCGGCUCUGCCUGUGUGAGGCAGGAGAAUGAGCAGAUUCCUAAUCUAUGUUCUCGAAGUUUAAUGCUGAUGUUGUCUUGCCUUAUCUCAUUUAACUGAUACUGUCACCCAGUCCACCUUUGCUCUCAUUGCAAAGUCAGACUGUAAUUUCAAAUGUAAGACUGAAGAUACGAUUGUAAAAGGGAGUAAACUGGUUUAAACGUGUUAUUCUAAAGCACCUUACUUUGUUGUUGUAUGCAGAAAACACAGAUGCGCUAAUUCAGUAUAAAUGACUGAUUGCCUGGAAUAUGGACGUUGGCUUAAAGUCCGAUAGCUAAACCUUGGCAAAACAUAACAAACAUUUCAUUGCUCAGCCUCAGUGCUCUGGAGUAUUCAGUGUAUGAGACAGGUUUAUUUGAGUCCUCUGUAAAUGGCAUUUGAAUUUUAUAUUCUCCCCUCCCGAGUAUCUUAUAAGACAUCCCCUGAGUUAGGGAGUUCCCAGACUGCUACUCUAUUCCUUAUGAAUGCAAAACAACCACCAAUAGAACAAAGAAAAAGAAAAAAAUGGCCUGAAUAUUCUCUUGGGAAAGGGGGUUGGAGGUCUAUAAAGGGAAGGGUAAGUGUAUCAGAAAUCCAAAGGGAGGAGGGGUCAGGCCAGCAGCCAUUUCCUCAUGCUCUGUGUUAUGCCUGCAGGGUCACAGAGGACAGGCAGCGUGGUGGUGGGGGGCAGCUCCUUCCAGUCCCCCUGCCCCAGCUCAGCUCCUGAGGGACACCUCUUGCCAACUCUCUCAUCCUUUAAGUUGCUCAGGAUGUUCUUCGGGUCUCAGGCUAGGUGCCAUUAAGCUGCAGUGCUUGCUUUGCCUUCUUAAGCCUGUCCUGUUUGACUGGUGGAAAGCCGACUCACGUGCCUACCUACUGUGCUUCCUAGGAAACUAGAUGGCGGCCCUCACCUGGGCGGGCUUGUCAGCACACCCUAACCUCUGCUCGGUUUGCUGUGCUCUUGAGAACGCACUGCAGAAGUUACUGUGCUCGAUGGCAGGUCGAGGGUUCCACUCUGGCUCGAGUAUGUUAUCCCGUUUAUAAUUAGACUUUCUGCUACCUUCUUAAAUGAAGGCACCUCCCCCGACCCCCACACACACCCCGGCCAUUUAUGUUGGCUCUCUAAGCCUCUUAUGAAAUGGAUUGAUUACCUGCCAGCUACUGAAGCUUUGCCGAGACACCAGUCAGAAGAGGGGAAAGCCAUCCAACUUGGAUUUCCUGUCCCCAGAGAUGGAUGGCUUGACUACUCAGCAUGGUGUCAGUCUCUGAGCUGGAGAACUAUUUCUCUGUUCCUUGGUCCCUUUCUUGAUUGAGAAAAGUGCUCGUGUCACACUGCACAGCAGCCAGUCUCUGAGACGCCGGGUCUACACUCUGGCACCCUUGCAUUUAUGUCCCCAGUAUCAGUGAGGAUGUGGCAGUUGUAUCCCCACCUCUGUCCCAGCCAGCUACCUUUUUAGUCAAGACAGAUUAGUGGUUUUUGUUUUUUUUGUUUUCCAGUUGUGAUUUACAGUUUGUAAGCAUUCCUUUGUAUACAUUUCCUAAUUUCAUGAACAGGAUAAAAUAGUAAGCAGGCCUUGGUUGGCUAGUGGGAGUUUUUAAACCAAUGACGAGUAUGUCUUGAAGCCUUGCUACAGCCCUGUGGCCUAUGAUUUCUAAGACUUGUGCAGCUAGUUGACUCACAGUGUAGAACCGGGCACAAGCUGGACAAAACCUUUGCAAGAAGAGUUAAAAUUAUUGGUUUAAGUACAGACUUUAGAACUAAAUGGAAGAGCAUAGAAGGAAAAUUAUAUUUUUAACAAAAGAGAAUAUUCAGGCUUUAUUUCUGGUAUGAAAUUUAUAUUUUUUAGAAAAUAUAUCCUAUAUUAUCACACCGGAGAUUUUAGAUUCCUUUCUGGUUACAAACAUUGCUGGUAGUUGGAUUAUAUUUUUAUUGUAUUCAUUUCUCUUAGGGGGAAAAUUGUAAAGAAACAAAAAGAUUCCGGAUGAAUGUAUCCUAGAAAUAAAAGUUGAAAGAUUCUU